rnacentral:rRNA from 1 species
CCGGUGGCGAAGGCGGCCCCCUGGACGAAGACUGACGCUCAGGUGCGAAAGCGUGGGGAGCAACCAGGAUUAGAUACCCUGGUAGUCCACGCUGUAAACGAUGUCGAUUUGGAGGUUGUGCCCUUGAGGCGUGGCUUCCGGAGCUAACGCGUUAAAUCGACCGCCUGGGGAGUACGGCCGCAAGGUUAAAACUCAAAUGAAUUGACGGGGGCCCGCCCAACCGGUGGAGCAUGUGGUUUAAUUCGAUGCAACGCGAAGACCCUUCCCUACUCUUGACAUCCAGAGAACUUAGCAGAGAUGCUUUGGUGCCUUCGGGAACUCUGAGACAGGUGCUGCAUGGCUGUCGUCAGCUCGUGUUGUGAAAUGUUGGGUUAAGUCCCGCAACGAGCGCAACCCUUAUCCUUUGUUGCCAGCGGUUCGGCCGGCAACUCAAAGGAGACUGCCAGUGAUAAACUGGAGGAAGGUGGGGAUGACGUCAAGUCAUCAUGGCCCUUACGAGUAGGGCUACACACGUGCUACAAUGGCAUAUACAAAGAGAAGCGACCUCGCGGGAGCAAGCGGACCUCAUAAAGUAUGUCGUAGUCCGCCUUGGAGUCUGCAACUCGACUCCAUGAAGUCGGAAUCGCUAGU